GUGAGGAAUAUUGGUCAAUGGGCGGGAGCCUGAACCAGCCAAGUCGCGUGAAGGAAGAAGGAUCUAUGGUUCGUAAACUUCUUUUGCAGGGGAAUAAAGUGCAGGACGUGUCCUGUUUUGUAUGUACCCUGAGAAUAAGGAUCGGCUAACUCCGUGCCAGCAGCCGCGGUAAUACGGAGGAUCCGAGCGUUAUCCGGAUUUAUUGGGUUUAAAGGGUGCGUAGGUGGUUUGAUAAGUCAGCGGUGAAAGUUUGCAGCUUAACUGUAAAAAUGCCGUUGAAACUGUCGGACUUGAGUGUAAAUGAGGUAGGCGGAAUGCGUGGUGUAGCGGUGAAAUGCAUAGAUAUCACGCAGAACGCCGAUUGCGAAGGCAGCUUACUAAGCUACAACUGACACUGAAGCACGAAAGCGUGGGGAUCAAACAGGAUUAGAUACCCGGGUAGUCC
rnacentral:rRNA from 1 species